AACGCACAUUGCGCCCGCCAGUAUUCUGGCGGGCAUGCCUGUCCGAGCGUCAUUUCAACCAUCAAGCCUUGUGCUUGUGUUGGGGCCCCGCGGCUGCCGCGGGCCCUGAAAACCAGUGGCGGGCUCGAAGUCGAACCGAGUGCAGUAAAUUUCUUCGCUUGGGAAGGUGACGAGUUCCGGCCGUAAAAAGCCCAACUUUAUCAAGGUUGACCUCGGAUCAGGUAGGACUACCCGCUGAACUUAA
rnacentral:misc_RNA from 1 species